GCAAGAGUUUAGGAAGUACAGGUGCAAGUUUUUCCAAAGAUCGAACUCACCUCACAUACAGGAAGGAAAACUGGAGAAUGAGCAUAUAAACUGCCCACGAACAUAUCUCAGCGUGUACAGAACAGCGAACAGCACCAUCACAUGUGAUUAUCCAGAUGUUUACGAGUCCCACAUAAAGUUCUUCUGUAAAAAGAACCGUUUUACCUGUGAGGACAUUUUAUCAACGUCAAAAGGGACGUUUACUCUCACAGGCAGCAGCCGUGCCUUUAACAUUUCCAUCAGUCAUGUGACCUCACAGGAUGCUGGUGAUUACUGGUGUGGAGUGGAAUCAAAUGAUGGAAGUUACAGAUUAUCACACACACAAAUACACCUGAAAGUUAUAGACAUUCAACCUUUGACAUCAACUAUUGGGCAGAACUUCACAUACCAGUGUAAGUACAACCAGG